UACGUAGGGGGCUAGCGUUGUCCGGAAUCAUUGGGCGUAAAGCGCGUGUAGGCGGUCCGGUAAGUCCGCUGUGAAAGUCGGGGGCUCAACCCUCGAAUGCCGGUGGAUACUGUCGGGCUAGAGUGCGGAAGAGGCGAGUGGAAUUCCUGGUGUAGCGGUGAAAUGCGCAGAUAUCGAGAGGAACACCGGCGGCGAAGGCGGCCAACUGGACGAACACUGACGCUGAGACACGAAAGCGUGGGGAGCAAACAGG
rnacentral:rRNA from 1 species